rnacentral:lncRNA from 1 species
UUAAGAAGUAGAAUCCACGUGUAAAUCCAAACCCUUAUAUUAGUCUCCCCAUACCCCCAAAUCCGCCUCCAGGUAGCUCUUUAACCAGAACCCCCGGCAGGUAAAUUAAUUUGACUGCUUGGAGUUAAGAGCUAAAUAAGUUUGGGUGAAAAAAUGAGCUAGGACCUUCGGCGAUCCGGGAAAGGAAGACUGAGUCCCGACGUCAAAAGGCCCCGGCCUCGCAUUGGAGGCUACCUGAUUGCUGGAAAACUGUAGCGUUCAAGACAGUGUUGCCACUCAUUCUGUGCUGGUGAAUCCGUGUACACCAUGAUACCAAGACUUAGGGGUGCCAUCAGGCCCUUCUGGAGCCAGCUUCCUACUUGGAGGACACAGAAAAGACCACCGUGCUUCUGCAAUGUGGAUUCCCAGCACCACUUCAAGGUUCCAAAUCCCCGCUGGACCACUAACUUUGCAGCCAUUUGCUUUGCAUAUACCUGUAGUCUUAGAAUGCCCCAAAUUCUGAAACCCUCCAGCCUGAGGAAUGCUUCUGCCAGUGAACAGUCUAUCAGCGAGGGUCUCGGCGGGAAGCAGAAUUCAACUCAGAGGAUUCCAGUGAAGUGAGUUUAACAAAGGGACGAUCACAGACAUGUGAGCAGGGAAUCAGCAGGGUAACCUCAGACUCACCAGGCACGCUCCAGCCUCAAGGCCGUGUACUUGCCAUCCCCACCCCGUGCUACCCGCCCGUGGUAUCCACGUGGCUCCUUCAUCUCAUUCAGGUCUUGGUUACAGCGCCACCUUCUCAAGCGGGCAUUGUAAGUGCUGCUCCUCGACACUCCCUUCCUCCUCCCCCACCUAAUUUUUUAUAUCACCUGAUAUUUCCAUAUUUAUUUUUUAUUUUCUGCCUCUACCCACUAGAAUGUGGGCAGAGAUUUUUGUCUGUUUUGUUCAUUGCUAUGAUACCAGUGCCUAGAACACCGCCUGGCCCAAGGAAGAGGCUCAAUAAAAAUAUUUGUUGAAUGAAUGAAUGAAUGACU